CUUGAGCGAGCCGAGCCACAACGGCCGGUCCGCCGUCCUGCCCUGCCCGUAGGUGGCCAGCAGCGCCUGCGCCUC
rnacentral:antisense_RNA from 1 species